UACGUAGGGGGCUAGCGUUGUCCGGAAUCAUUGGGCGUAAAGCGCGUGUAGGCGGUCCGGUAAGUCCGCUGUGAAAGUCGGGGGCUCAACCCUCGGAUGCCGGUGGAUACUGUCGGGCUUGAGUACGGAAGAGGCGAGUGGAAUUCCUGGUGUAGCGGUGAAAUGCGCAGAUAUCUGGAGGAACACCGGUGGCGAAGGCGGCAUCCUGGACCGGUAUUGACGCUGAGGCGCGAAAGCCAGGGGAGCAAACGGG
rnacentral:rRNA from 1 species